UUUCAGAUUUUCACCGCUAAAUUUCAGUUUCCCUCUACAUCUCUAUUCUAAUCCCUAACUCCCUCCUUCCCCAAUUGCAAAACACUCCAUCUCACCAAAACUUCUAGUAGUUGCAGGUUUCAUAUUUCAAAUUCAUGAUUUCAAGAACAAAUCUUCUAAUAACUUAUCAUUUUUGUUCAAUAUUAUACCACCAUACAUCCAGUUACUCAACUACUUCUAAUUAUCCACCAGCACCACUUCAUGUCCCCAAAAAAAACCUAACAUUAAUCAAUUCCGAACCCCUCCCCCCACCUGCACAUCCCCAUCACCCCCAAAAAUCGGCCGCAUCCUACACAUCCUCAUUAUCCACCUCUGAUGACCGGCAAACGACAGCGUAGGUGGUAAUUCGCCAAUGGUGCGGUUGUGUUAGAGAUUGUCUAAUCAGGGGGCUUAAUGUUGAUUAGUGGAGAAUAAACAUCAUUUACAUACAUAUGUGAUCGGAUAUGAAUUAAGUGGAAGAGUGAAGUUUUAACGUUAACUGCACCUACAAUCGUCCUUUCCGACGUCUCCUCCACCGACACCGUCACGACGGAGCCACAGCGAAGACGCCAUGGAUUUCCUCAAGCUAAUCUGCCCUAAUUCUCCUUACGCGACCAUACUUCUUGUCUCACGGUUUGAUUGCUGGUUAUUUGUCUUAUCGAAUUGGGUAUUGUGUUAUUGGUGGAUCAUGAAACUGUUCUUAGGGAUCCCAAUUUUGCAAGCAUCCUUUUCUUCUAUGGAGUUAUAAACAGGAACUGGGAAUUUUAAUGGCUAUCUCCUCGCCAUUUCCCUUGGCUUGACUUCCAUAUUGAAGUUCUCAUGGAAUUUCCUCAAGUGACCAUGACUUUGCCUGAUGGCCUUGAAGAAUCUAUCAUGAAACAUACCACACUAGUUGCUAAUACAUCUAAUAUGCCUGUCGCUGCUCGUGAGGCUUCAAUUUAUACGGAGAAACCAAUAAAGAUGCUUAACUCCUAUUCAUGCACACAUGCAGCAUAGUGGAUCACAAUGUAUCGCACAAGGAGAUGCUACUGCUGUCGUUGCAAGUGCUGCUAAUGCAGGUUGAGAAACAAGUGCUGCUAGGAGUGAUGCAAAUUAUGUUGCAGUUGCUGUAUCAUUUGUAGAUAACAUUUGAUUAGAAGUUUAUGUACGUAGUAUUUGAAUUGAAAACUUAUGUAUGAAUUUUGGUUUAUUAUAUUGUUAAUAUCAUUAGUUUUGUUUUUAGCUU